ensembl:lncRNA
AGCAGGCUUUGGGCUAGGUGAAAAUCCACUUUGCCAACUUCAAUGUUUUACUAAGUGUUGGCUCUGCUAAAAAAGCCUCAUGCAACUGAACAUUCUAUUAUAGAAAAUGACGAAUCUGUGUUUGAUGCCAGAGUUGUCACAUUCUUCCAAGAGUGCAGACUUUUAUGGGCCCCUGGAGCUUCUGCCGGGGACUAUUUCUGAGGACGGGAACAUUGUGCCUUGUUGGCAAGGCUUGUUAAACCAAGGCCAUUUGUGGUCGUUGAAGAAUCUGGAUCUGCCUUUGCAACGGUGGCAGCGAGAUUGUGGUGAGGCUCUGGAUACGCUUUAUCCCACCUCAGUUUCUCUGGUGAGGCCCUUUGCCAUGUAAACUGGUUGUGGUCAAAUGGAAAUAUUUGAAGGGUUGCCACGUGGAAGAGGGAUUUAGGCCUAUUCUGCAUGGUCCCAGAGGAUAGAACUCAGAUGAAGAAGAUGGUAACUGCUGCGGAGAGAUGGAUUUGGACGCUACAUAAAGAUCAACUAUAAGGUAUGAUGGUCAUCACCAUUUUACAGACGAGGAAACUGGCGCAAAGAAAGUAGGAAAGCCUGGGACCCUCAUGUCAGAUGACAAGUUCAGUCACCUCAAUGGUGAGUCAAAGCUGAGGACUGUCUUAGAAUUGGCUUCUCGUAAAGCAAGAAUGACGGAGGAGAGGAAAUUAGCUGAAGGAUGUUCUAGGCAGUCUUCUCCCUGUGCAGGCAGCCAGAGAAAGCCUGGCUCAGGGAACCUGUCCUACAUGGCUUCUGCUGGUGGUUCGAGGAGGUCUGUGGUUUACCUUAGUAGGGAAGAGGACAACAAUUUUGGAAGAGGAAGAGCCAAGCUGUUGAAUGACUCUCUUCCAGACUCCACCUUCCUGUAUUCGUUGUGCAAUAUCGUUGUGAAAUCUGUUUUUUCUCUUGAGAAAAUGUGAUGAAGUUUAUAACUCCAAACUCAGCUCUGAUCAAGUCUCCUGCUGCUCGAGAGCCUCCAAUAGUGAUUUCCCAUGGCCCCAGUCAGCAGCCUCCAAACUUUUCUGAAUAUGUAGCCCCACCGGUAAAAAGAUUUGCCUGUACUUCAAAUAGAUGUAUAAGUGUGUGUGCAUGUGUGUAAAGUCAUGCCAAUAAAUUAUGCCCAUUAUAAAAAUAAAAAAUGGAAAUUAUAAGAGAAGAGAUAAAUAUGAAAUAAAGAAUACUUUAAAAUGUAUGGUAAUGUUCAUAACAUCAUACUGUCUUUCCUACCAUCUCAAAGUAUAAGCAACACUCCAGGUGGAGUUCAUCAUUAAUAAUAGUGAAUGUAAACCCAUAUUUCAAGCAUUUUUCCUGAGAAUUUUGAACUUUUUUUUGGCCGACUGCUUGCCAGAUCUGAUUAGGUCAUCAUUGGCUUUAACCCCUGAAACGUGGCCAGUGGAAAGCCAGGAAUAGGAGAAAACAGCUCUGCCAUUUUCUUGUUGUUUGCUAGUGUUUGCUUUAAUCAUUAUUCUCAAUGUACGGGUUCUUUGCAGGAAUCUUUUAAGAAGAUUUGUCCAUUUUUUGUCAGGGGUUAUUUAGUAAAAUCUGGGUAAAGACUCUCUAAAUCCAAGAAACUAGCUAAAGAGAAAGGUAGUAUGGGUACCUCAUGGGCUCUCUGGGGCAUAGAAUCCCCAACUUUCCCUCAGAAUAACCUUAGUUGGAGAUGUGACACAAAGCCACUUGGCACAGGGAUUCAACAAGGGUUCCAUAGUCAAUCUAUAUAGGAAGCAAUAGGAAUUUUUACCUUCUUUUGUGUCAAUAAAAUUAAAUAUAAAUAAAGAUUCCAGUAUGAUUUACACACCCUCCUGGGAGCAUGACUCUUCUUUGGAAACCCGUUAUCUACCAAGAUCAGAUUUCUUAGCCUUCCAAGAUCAGUGACCUACUUUUUUAGACAUACCUCCAACCAUAAGCAACGCUACCCGUUCCCAUGAUCACCCACACACUGCUCUGUACAAACACACUGCGCUGCUCAUCUUUCUCUGAAAACUUUCUUUCUCUGGGCCUUUGCCUAGACUGUUCCCUCUGCUUGGAACACCCUUGCUCUCCAUUGCUAUCCUUCAAAUUUUUACUCAGCCUCCGCCUCCUAUGUAAAAUAAUAACAUAUCAGCUAACAUCCAUUGACCUCUUGCUACAUGCCGGACUCUGUAUUAUCUCAUUUAACCUUCACAACAAUCCCAGGAGACAGGUACUACUAUGAGAAAGCUGAGGGACAGAGACCUGCCCAAAGCCACACAGCUAGGAAAUGGGGAAGCCAGGAACCAAACCCAUGAGGACUCCAAAUUCCCACACUCUAUCACUGUAUGUGUGUUUUACUUUAAAUUUACUUGUUUGAACA